rnacentral:rRNA from 1 species
GACGAACGCUGGCGGCGUGCUUAACACAUGCAAGUCGAACGAAGAGCGAUGGAAGCUUGCUUCUAUCAAUCUUAGUGGCGAACGGGUGAGUAACGCGUAAUCAACCUGCCCUUCAGAGGGGGACAACAGUUGGAAACGACUGCUAAUACCGCAUACGAUCUGACCUCGGCAUCGAGGAUGGAUGAAAGGUGGCCUCUAUUUAUAAGCUAUCACUGAAGGAGGGGAUUGCGUCUGAUUAGCUAGUUGGAGGGGUAACGGCCCACCAAGGCGAUGAUCAGUAGCCGGUCUGAGAGGAUGAACGGCCACAUUGGGACUGAGACACGGCCCAGACUCCUACGGGAGGCAGCAGUGGGGAAUCUUCCGCAAUGGACGAAAGUCUGACGGAGCAACGCCGCGUGAGUGAUGACGGCCUUCGGGUUGUAAAGCUCUGUUAAUCGGGACGAAAGGCCUUCUUGCGAAUAGUAGAAGGAUUGACGGUACCG